GGCCUGUGUGUUCGCUGUCCCUGUUCCUGUUCCUGGAGCACUGUUCCUGCUGCCCUUUGCCCAGCCAUUGCCUUGCAUCCCUCAUUGGGAGGCCUUUGGUGGCCAUGUGCCCUCUCUCUCCGGCCUCCGUUGUUUCCCUCCCAGAAUCUGCCACCAUUGAUAAUGAUCUUCUGAACCUGCCUCUUUACAGCGUUCCCUAAGGACAGAAUGCAAGCUUCUUGCAGCCAGUGAAGCCCACGAACGUAUCCUCAGGGCCCAGCACAAGGACGGGCACACAGGGACCCCGACCGCGACUUGCUGAAAGAUACUCAUGCUGAGGGAAGCCAGCUUCCAUGUUGUAAGGAUGCUGAAGCAGCACUGUGGAGAUCCAUGUGGCAAGGAGCUGAGGCCUCUGCCAGCAGCCAGCGCCAGUCUGCCAGCGAGAUGAGCAAGCCGUCUUGCAGCCAAUUCAACGAAUUGUUAUCUCUGGACCACUGGGCUCACAUCGUGAACAGCUGCUCCACCCUCUGUCUUUCACCAGCAAGUUUUUCUGGUAACAAGACCACAUAGGUCUCACUUAAGCCAUCUUCACCAACUACCAACUAUUAAACUGGUUAAUUCGUCUUUCAGAUCAGAAACAAGAGGCCAGGAGUAAAAACUGUGCCAAUCAGAGAAGAAUUACCUGGCCACCAAAUUACCAGUCACUCACUCAUCUCAACUCUCCUCCCUGGCUCCUUUACUUUGAAGCUUAGGUCUGCAAUGGUUAUUUUAUAUAGAAGAGCAAAAUAUGCUCCUUUCAAAUUUCACUUUUUUUUCUUUUUUGAAAUUAAAACCAAUUUUGUUUAGAGACAGGGUCGCACUCUGCCACCCAGGAUGGAGUGCAGUGGCAUGAUCAUAGCUCGCUGUAACCCCAAACUCCUGGGCUCAAGUGAUCCUCACACCUCAGCCUCCCGAGUAGCUGGUACAGGAGUGUGCCACCAUGCUUGGCUUCACUUUAUUUUGUUGACUUAACUUUUUCCAGAGACAUCUUACAAGAGCCUGUUUUCCAUCCUAACAGUACGACGUAACUCCAGACAUAGGCUUUAGA
rnacentral:lncRNA from 1 species